GAUGAAAUAUGAAGUUUUAUUAAAAGAAAAAGGGGUGAAAAGAAUAAAGUUUUGUCCAUCUUUGUUCAUCAUAGCUGAAAGUUAGAGAAAAGAAAGGAGAGGAGAAAGCUCUUGAGUAUUCGGUCAUUAGGAGGAGGAAAAUUGAAGGAAAUCCCCAACCAUAGUGGGCUUGGAGCUAUGAGGGAAUUCGGAGUGGCCAACCGUUCUGAAAGUUUGAUUUUCUUCUAGUGAACUGGACAUCCUUUUAAUUACGUUUGAGGUUUUGGGCUUUUAAAUGUAAUAAGGCCGCUUACUUAUUUUUGAUGGUUUUUAAUAUGUAUUACUAAGAUAGGUAAUACUUGUUUUAACUGUUGAAAUUGGAUAGCUUUAGGGCUCGUUUUCAAAAACAACAAUUGAUUUCAAAAUAACAUGACAACAAGCAAAGCUUCCGCAAUGAAA